rnacentral:rRNA from 1 species
AACCGGGACCAGUCCAGCGCUGAAUCUCGUCGUCUCGGCGGCGCGAAAUGUAGCGUAUAGGCGGUGUGCUUGGCCGUGGCCCUGGGCACAAGUUUCCCAUGACCGGGGCGCCMGAGAAGGUGAUAGACCUGUAGCGCCCGGGGCCUAGGCUGACUGCCCUGUCUUGGAGUCGGGUUGUCUGGGAUUGCAGCCCAAAGCAGGUGGUAUACUUCAUCUAAGACUAAAUAUGCCUACGAGACCGAUAGCAAACAAGUACCGUGAGGGAAAGUUGCAAAGCACUUUGAAGAGAGAGUUAAAGAGGACGUGAAACCGGUAGGAUGGAAACGGAUAGAGCUAGCGAAGUCGUUCGUAUUCAGCCGAAGGCCGGCGGUAUCGGUGUGCCGGGUUGCUAAUCGUGCCUGGUGUUGCCUUUUGCCGCUGGUUGAGGUGCAUUUGCGGACGUUUGCGCUGAGACUUGCGGGCCAGCUUCUGGACCCGGGCCUAGAGGCCGUCCUUUGGGCGGAACUUGGGCACGGCGACGGUUGUUUGCGUUCUGCUCGUACCGCGGUCUGGCCUACGGGUUGGGGCGUAGCCGUUGUUGCCUAUAGGUGGCAUCGCUUGCGAUGUCUCUCUUGGCGGCCGCGAUUGCGUUCCGGCUCACGGACCGCUUCUCGGUGUAAAAGCUGGUCACCUAUCCGACCCGUCUUGAAACACGGACCAAGGAGUUUAGCGUAUACGCGAGCCAUUGGGUGUCAAAACCUACAGGCGCAAUGAAAGUGAAGGCCCAGUCGCUGGGUUGACAUGCGAGCCGGUGGCCCUCGGGCCGCCGGUGCAGCAUGGUCCCGUUCCGGUGGCUUGCCACGGARCGGAGACAGAGCGUAUGCMCUGAGACCCGAAAGAUGGUGAACUAUUCCUGAGCAGGAUGAAGCCAGAGGAAAC